AAGUCGUAACAAGGUUUCCGUAGGUGAACCUGCGGAAGGAUCAUUAUUAAUACUUGGUUUACACCAGUAAUUCAUGUGCAACUUUACCUGACGCUGCCAAUACUUGACGGUGGUCCUCCCUUGGGUGGUCACUAUUCAUACUUGGCAGCAGCCCGGAUCUUCUCUUUGAAGAUUCGGCAACCAGAUCCCAUGUUUUCAUUCGUGACGCAUGAGGUCUGGCUAUUUAAACCACUAUACAUCAGUCAUGAAAUCCGCCGACAAGUAGUAGUCGCAAGGCACUACAUGUCUGGCAAUAAAGGGAUAAAAACUUUUAGCAACGGAUCUCUAGGCUCUC
rnacentral:misc_RNA from 1 species